rnacentral:rRNA from 1 species
GCAGCGGAGCGUGUGGUUUAAUUCGAUGUUACGCGAAAACCUUACCCGGGCUUGACAUGCAGGUAGUAGGGAACCGAGAGGGGACCGACUCUUCGGAGAGCCUGCACAGGUUGCUGCAUGGCUGUCGUCAGCUCGUGCCGUGAGGUGUCCGGUUAAGUCCGGUAACGAGCGCAACCCUCGCCAUAUGUUACAAGUGUCAUAUGGGACUGCCGAUAUAAAGUCGGAGGAAGGUGGGGAUGACGUCAAGUCAGCAUGGCCUUUAUGUCCGGGGCUACACACACGCUACAAUGGCCGGUACAAUAGGUAGCAAGACCGCGAGGUGGAGCCAAUCCUAAAAGCCGGUCUCAGUUCAGAUUGCAGGCUGCAACUCGCCUGCAUGAAGUCGGAGUUGCUAGUAACCGCGCGUCAGCAAUAGUGCGGUGAAUACGUUCCCGGGCCUU